rnacentral:tRNA from 1 species
GUUUAAAUAGUUUAAAAAAAAUAUUGAUUUGUGGUGUCAAAGAUGUAGAAUUUACUUUAGACU